AAUGAUAAGAAAAAAGAUGAUAAGAGAAAAAAUGAUAAUGCGGGAUAAUAAUAAGAGCUUCCUCAUGAUUCUCUUUAUCUUUUAUUUGAUAUUUCCUUUUCCUUUAUCAAAUAAAAGAAGAGAAUCAUAAGAAGGAAGCUCUUACUAUCCCGCAUUGUCAUCAGGAGAUUCAUUAUCCAACAUUAAGAAUCACAAGAUUAAAUUUUAAUUUUAUUUCAAAUAAAAUUAAUAAUCUUGUGAAU
rnacentral:ribozyme from 11 species